AAGGUUUUGUAGGAUUUUAGUAGAUUGGAGAGAAGGUCCAAAGUUAUUUUGUGAUUGGAACUUCAUUGAUAUCUAUUUACUAUUCUAAUGCAAUUUUCAUACCUAUUUGUUGUUGUUAUAAAUUACUUGGCCAUGUCUGAGUAGUUCCCUUGUUAGAUUUUAGGGUUUAAAUAGGUUAUGAGGGAUUAGCCCCAACAAUAGAUUGCUAAGUUGUGAUAUUAAUCAUUAGGAUUGUCAUUAAUGCAUGAUUCUAGAUUAGCUACCUAGAACUUGUCCUAGGAUUGUUAGAUAUAAGCGAUAGCUUUCAUCUCAUCCUGAAACCAUUCUAAUUGAGCUAAGAUUCUUGCUAAGAAUAAGGCGAAAGCUGAUUUAGUGAGCUUAGUGAGCACAUUCAACCCGCGCAUUAACGCUUGACCAACAUCAUCGAUCGAUAUUCAAAUAGAAUAAUCAGUCGACGUUUUGAAUAGUGCAUCGAUCGAUAUUCAUAUAGAAUCAUCGAUCGACACUGGUCAAUAGACGAACUUAGAAAGCGAGAGCCUAGUGGUUCGUUUACAAGUGUUGAGCUCUACAAUAUCAUGCAUGCAACUUGUUAGGCAUCUAUAGGAUUAUAAUUCCAACUUUCCUGAAUAAAAAUCCUAAAUCUAGAUAUUUUCUUAUAAGCACCAAAACCUCAACCAAUCAAUCGAGUAAUUACUUGCUUAACAACUGCAACUUUACAUUUAGAUCACUCUCCUCCGUCUGUAAUAUUCGUCUUACCUUAAAAUGAUAAAAUGUCAAAAUAUGUUAGCAAAGAGAAUUAUGAAUAAAUAAUAACAUAUAAUUAAUCGUAAUCUUGUACUAACCUCUUUUAUUGUAAUCGACCUGUCAAAAUAUAAGAGAUAAGAAUGUUUUGAUGCCAUUACUAAACCUCAUCAAAUUAUUGAUUAUAAAUUCCAAAACAAUUAUAUAGAUGCUUGGGAUUCAACCUCUGCACCACUAAGAAUUGUAAAACUAUCUUAUUUCUUGGUACAAAUAACAAUAUGUCAAAUUUAAAUUUGAUUAUAGUUUUAGAUCUAAGAAUAUAUAUUUUUAUAUUUUAUCUUGAAAUCAACAAAGGGUACAUAACUCUAAAAAGAGGCAUAUAGUGGUCUUGAGGGCAACAAGGAAUUCCAGCAUAAGUCAAAGAUUCCUACUAAGUCAACAAUGGCGAUUGAGCACUACCACCAAUAUUUGAACAGAAGAAGAUACAUAUAUAGAGCAGAAACUCAAUAAAUUAAUACUCGAUAAAUUAAUAAAUACUAUAAUUCAAUUCAAACAGUAUAGUUUCAUGGGAAUCUUUUUUAUUUCCAUUUUGGCUGACUAAUAAACACUUAUUUAAUUAUACAUUUUAAAAAAAUUGAACUUUUAAGACAUUGCUAAAACCCACACUACCAAAAAAAGAGAGGAUAGUUUUACAUCAUUUAUUUUCAAUAUUUUCAUUGAUCAUAAACUAUGUAAAAUAAUUUUUCUUCACAUAAAAUAGUGACUCUAAAAGUUGUGAUGCAAAUAGUUUAGGAAAAAUUCGCAAAAAUGACUCAAAACUUGAUUUGGAAUAGUGCUCCAAAUUCAAUCAAAUGCAAAAGUAACCUAAAAGGCUACUGAAAUUACAACAGCCUCCUUAUGACGAAACAAAAAACAUGUAUUGAGUUUUACCAUUAUAGCCCUCCGUGUGAGAAGACUUACAAGGAAGUAUUCUCGGAGAAGACUUACAAGGAAGUAUUCUCAGAGAAGACUUUGUUGUAAGUCUUCCCGUUCAGUUGAUCUUUAAAAUAAGUAUUUUGAUGGAGAAUAAAACGGAAUCAUGUAAUAAUAAAAAUAUAUAAAUGAUGUAAAUUUAGUUUUACUAAAAUUGAAUUAUUUUCAACAUAGAUGAGUAAAUACGGAUUGAGUCAUGAUAGUCAUUAGUGUAGAGUUUGGUAAUAUAUGUUAUAAUAUUGUUGGUAUUUUUAGGGUUAGAUUUUGAAAUCUUAUUUUUUUUUGUUUUUUUAAUUUGACAUAAAUGUGUUUAGUGACUAUCUAAUAACUUGAUUUAAACACUUUCUAAGUAUCUUUUAAGUUUAAGCAAGUGUUUUUUUUUGCUUAGUUAUUUGAUUAUAGGGCCUAGAGGACUCACAGAAGACUUUCCAAGAAGCCUUCUGACAUAUUCCGCCUAAAUUUUAGAAGAAUUUAGGUUUUCCGCAUAAAUCGAAGUCUUCCAGAAACCUUCCAGGGGAAGUCUUCUCACGUAUUAGAUCUUAACAGUAAUUAAUAAAUUUUAUAAAAAAUAUUUUGAAAGGAAAAAAAUUGAAAUGAUGUAUUAAUAAACAUUUCUAAAUGAUAGAAAUUUAGUUUUACUAAAAUUCAAUUAUUUUUAACAUAGAUGAGUGAAUGUAGAUUUAAUCGUGAUAGUCUUUGGUUUAAGUUAUGGUAAAUAUUUUAAAGUAUUGUUAUUAUUUAGGGUUAGAUUUUGGAAUCUUAACUUACAAAAAAAAUUAACCUACAUUUGUUUAGUUUUGUGUAUAUUAAACACUCUAUAAAUUGAUUUUAAGUUUAAUGAAUUAUUUUUUGCUAUUUAGUUAGUUAUUUGAUUAGGUUAGGGUUUGGAAAACUUCGAGAUUGGAAGACUUUCCAAGAAGUUUUCUAACAUGUUUCCGCCUAAAUAUUAGUAAAAUUUAGUUUUUCCAUCUAAAUUUUUGUAGAAUAUAUGUUUCCCGUCUAAAGCGAAGUUUUCUAGAAGUCUUCGAGAAGUCUUCUCAUGUAUUACAUUUUAAAAGUAAUUUAUAAAUUAUAUUUUGGUAGGGAAAAAGUCCAAAUCAUGUAAAAUAUAAACAUUUCUAAAUAUGUAAGUUUAAUUUUAUUAAAAUUGAAUUAUUUUCAACAUAGAUGAAUGAAUGUAGAUUGAGUCAUGAUAGUCUUUUGCUUAGGGUUUGGUAAAACAAGUUAUAGUAUUAUUGGUAUUUUUAUGGUUACAUUUUGAAAUUUUAACUUAAAAACAAUUAAAUUUGACAUUUAUGUGUUUAGUUUUGUGUAUAUUAAAAAGAAAAAAUGACUGCUGACUACAUGAAGUAUCGGUCAUCACAUGGCUAACUAUGCAAACUAAAGUAAUGUAUACGCUACACGAAGUAUAUGUUAUGCAUGACAACAUCCCUCAACUUAAUGAUGUUAUGUAGUUAACAUCACAAGUUAAUUUCAUUCAUUCAAAAGCUGAUGUAGAUGUCAGAGACCGUUUAAAUAUUUCGUUUCAUCAAUUAAAAUAUAAUCAAUCUAACCGUAAUUUAACUAAAAUUGGGUUUUAAUCCGCAUUUUAAAAGUGUAAGAAUAUUUUUAACAAAAUUUAAUUUACAAAAUCAAUAUUUUUUAAUAUUUUUUUAUAAGUAGUGUUUUAGCCUUUUUGUUUUAGUGUAUUUGAUAACUAUAUAAUUAGAUUAUUUUAUUUAUAUUAAAUAUGAAAGUUAUAUAGGAUUGUUUAAUUUUGUUUUUAAUUAUUCUAAUAUGUUUUGUUAUUGAAUUUUAAUAAUAGUUCUGUAAUUCGUUUGAUUAAUUAUGUGAUAUAUACUUAUCUGAUAAUUUUUUUUAUUAUAAAAAUUAUUUGAUGUCUAUUUAUUGCCUCUAACAUUUUAUUUGUUUAGUACAAAAUUAAUUAAAUUAAUGAAUUAUUUUAUUUAUAUUUUCAUAAACAAAAAUUUUCAUUCAUUUAAACUUAGUAAAACUUAUAUUAGAUUUGUAUUAUUAGAUUACUUUUAUUCUAAAAAGUAUACAAUUAAUAACUAUAUACGCGAGAUAAUAUUGGGUUUAAGUUGACAUCAAAUAGGUUUUAAACAAAGAAAAUGUCAGAUUGACGUCAAAUAAGUUUUAUAAUUAAAAAAUAAAAUAAUAUCUUAUAUAAGGUUUAAAUUUAAUAUAAAUAUAAAUGAUAUAAUUAUAUAGUUUUCAAAUGCUAAAAUACUAAUUAUCAAAAAAUAUUAAAACAAAUUGAUUUUGUAAAUUAAAUUUAGUUAAAAAUAAUCUUACGCUUUUAAACGCGGAUUAAUAUCUAAUUUAAUUUAAAUUACGGUCAGAUUGGUUAUAUUUUAAUUGAUGAAACGAGUUAUUUAAACUGUCGCUGGCGUCCACAUCAAUUUUUGGAUGAAUGAAAUUAAACUCGUGAUGUUAACUACAUGACAUCAUUAAGUUAGGGAUAUUGUCAUGCAUAACAUAUACUUUGUGUAGCUAAGUAUAAAUUAGUUUAGUUUGCAUUGUUAGCCAUGUGAUGGCCAAUACUUUGUGUAGCAAGCAAUCAUUUUUCCUAUUAAAAACUUUAAGAGUUGAAUUUUAGUUUAAUGAAGUGUUUUUUGCUAUUUAGUUAGUUAUUUGAUUUUAUGGUCUAGAUUCUAAGAGAAAAGUCUUCAGUAUCGAAAAUAUUUAAUCUAAUUGGAAUUUUUAUCUUCAUAUAUAAAGAAAAUUUACACAUUCUCUUUCUUCAUCUCAAAUGGUUGCAACAAAAAUAUAAAUUCUCACUCUAAAACUCUCCAACCUCUCUCUAAUCUAUUUGAACAUCAAAAUACCAAACUUUAUAUCCAUUUCUCAUUUUUUUUUCUUAUAUCUUCUCGCUAAUUCAUCUUCUUUUUACAGGUUUUUCAUCACAUGGUUCUCAUCUUUCACUCCUUUAAAGGUAGAUCUAUUUGAACAUCAAAUUUUGUGUGUGUUUAUAUGUUAUCUAAAAAGCAAUAGAUUCAACCUAAGGUGAAUGUUUUGUUUAUUAUUUAAGCAUAAAAUUUUUAUUUUUGAAAUUUUUCUUUGUUUUGAAGCUAUUUGAAUGUUUUUGAAUUUGCAGGUUUUUUCAGGUCUGAGAUAGAUUUUGAAAGAGUUCUUAGUAGUCUUCUAAUGCAUUUAAUGCUAGAAGACUUCCCACGAAGUUUUCAGUAACUUCUGAAGUCUUAUGUCCAUAGUGGUACAAAUUUUGGAUAUAUCUUUUGAGUAUUUUAUAUAUUAGAUUUUAAAAAGUUAUAGAUUCAACCCAAUGUGACUGUUUUGUGUCUUAUUUAGCUUAAAAAAAAUAUUUCUAAAGUUUUCUUUGUUUUGAAUCCUUUUGAAUGCUUUUGAAUAUGCAGAUUUUUCAGAUCUGAGUCACACUUUAAAAGACUUCUCAGAAGACUCUUGGAAGACACUCGGAAGACACUUCUGAAGUAUUCUAUGGUCUGUUUUAUGAUUUGUAUGUGUACUAUUUUAGUUGUGAAAUAUUUUGUAAACUUGAAGAGAUGUUAAUCAAAAGAAUUUGUUAAAUAUGUUUAUCUUUACUCAAAAGUAAUUGACAUUAUUAAAAUUAUUGAUAAAACAUACCAAGAAAUCUUUUUAACCAUUCUACCCACUCAUAACAAAUCAGGACAACACAAAAAACUUAGUCAAAUUAACUAAAAACUAGGAGAGAAUAUUUCUCAAAAAAACUUAGUCAAACUCACAAAAAAUCAAACAAUACAUAAGUCUCACUAGAAGAAUUUUUGGAAGACUUCAAUAAAAGUCUUAUGGUAAGUCUUCUUUAUAAUAGUACAAUAUAUGUUACCAAACCCUUAUUCAAGAAUACCAUGACACAACACAUUCACUCAUCUAUGUUGAAAACAAUUCAAUUUUAUUAGAUUUUAAUUUAUAUCAUUUACAAAUGUUUAUAAUCACAUGAUUUCAAUUUUGCCCUCAUCAGAAUAUUUUUUAUAAAAUUUAUAAAUUAUUUUUAAGAUGUACAAUAUGAGAAGAUUUUUAAGAUGUAUUAUAGGGUUACAUUCGUAAAAAUUAAUUCUGUUUUUUUUUUUUGUCAUAAGGGACUGGUUGUAAUUUCACUAGCUUUUUAGGUUAGUUUUACAUUUGAUUCAAGUUUGGGUAUACUUUUGGGGUUAAAAUCAAGUUUUGAGUCAUAUUUUUUGACAAAUUCACCUAAUUUUAAUUCAUUAAAAAUAUAUAUAUAAAUAAUCAUUAUGAGUAUUAAUGUUAAUACAUGUAAGAAGUAAUUUCUCAAAUAAUAUUAUAUAUUUUAACUAUUUACUUUUAAUAAUUAUAUUUUCAUUAAUAAUGUUUUAGUUAAUAAAUUAAAACCAAAAAACAAAAGAAUUUAUAGACAAACAUAAUCUAGCUAGAACUGUUAAUAUAAUAUAUAUUUUAACAUAUAACCUAAUUAUGUAAAUAUCAUUAUAAUUUUCCUUUUAGCAAAUAAACAUUUUUAAAAAAGCAAAUAAGCAUAUAAUUGGAAAGAAAAUAUAUUUUGGAAAUUCUUUGAAAAAAAUAUUGAUCAUAUAUUUACUUUACAAAAAUAAAGGAAAAAGUAACUAAUAUAAAUCCAUACAAAUCCCUGAUAAAUUUGUGCAUAACUUGAAGUAUCGAAGAAGUCUACACAAAUCAAUCAAAUCAUGAUUAUCACAUCACCGAUGAAUCCUCCUCUGCCGCGAAACCUAACCCAUGAUCCCGAGCCUGAACCAAACGCUAAACCGGUUUUAAAGAGCCAGGAAUCCUCCGCCCAAACGAUGAAACCUCUCUCUCCCAGAAACCCUAACCCACCUGAUCUUGACACAACGGAAGCAGUAAUUUCAGAAUCCAGUGCGAAAAUUUUACCCCGUGAGGAAGACUUUCAAGAAAAGAAUGAACAGCUUUCGGGAGAGAAGGAUAAGAUGGAGACAAAGCCUGUCACGGAGGUUGAUAGCAACAUGGUGAUCGUUAAAACAGGAGGAUGGAUAAUACAACAUCGGACGCAAUAUGAGAUAGCUGAAGAUGCAGUCGCUCUCUUGUUGAAACAUUCUGUAGGACAUCAAGAAAUUAGUAAAAGUGAAGAGAGUGGCCCUAGUAGAAAGAAAAAGAAGACGGAUGAUGAUUCAUCAUGGGUACCUCCUCAAGGACAAUCUGGUGAUGGACGGACCUCUCUGAAUGAUCGUUUUGGAUACUAAUUGGCAUCAAGGGAAGGUCAAAUGUGUGGCUUUAAACAUAUGUCAAGUUUGCAUCAUUCAUAGACAAUGUUUUAUACAUUGCAAGACAUGACAGAUUUGGGGCAUGAGUUAAGAGUUAUAUAAGCUAAUUAAAACCAAAUCAUCUGAUUUUGACAUUUAUUAUUUGCAUGUGUAUGCAAAUAUGUAGGCAUUGGCAACUUGGUAUCCAAUCAAGUUCGAUUCGGACUCAAUCAGGUUUCAUUUUCUGCACAUGAAAUUUGACCCAUUUGGAUAUUCUUACAGUACGGUUCCGAUUUGGUUUGAAGUUUUUCUGGUACGAUUGGGUUAUAAUGAGACACCGCAUAUCCAGUUGAAUUUAUUUUAACUUCGGGUUUGGUUUUACAUACUUGUUUGUAAUUUCAAAGUACACACUCUAGUUCAUAAAAUUGGCAAAUUUAAACAAGUUUCAUUAACAAAAGCUUGGUAGAAUGAUUUAGAAGUGGUCCGCUAAGAGGCAAAAAAAAAACAUAAACAAGUUGAAACUACCCAAUAAGAACUCCAUAAAUCUAAGAAACAUUAUCUAAACUUCAAAAUAAAAUAAUAUUGUUUAAACUUCAUAAGCAAGCAUAUCCAUAAUUAAACUUGAAACGCAAUUAUCAAAAGGAAAAAAUGAUAGCCAGCUAUCUGAAGUAUUGACCAACACAUGGCUGACCACGCAAAGUAAAGAAAUACACACUCAACUACACGAAGUAUAUGGUAUGUAUGCUAACAUCCUUGUAUUUUAUGUUGUUAUGUAGCCAACAUCAUUACCUUAACUUAAAUAGUAGGAAAUCGUCACAUGGACGUCGGAGAUGGUAACACCGUGUGAUUAGCCGUUUGGUUAGUUUAAAACCGACCCACACAACCCAAAUAAAAAUAAAACUCAGCCCAUUUUUAAGAUAAGAGUGUUAUUGGGCCCCAAUUAAAAUCCGACAUCGACCCAAAUUAAAGAAAUCCGACAUAACCCAAUCAAAUAUGAUCUUAACCGGUUGCUUCAUUCUUCUUCAUCCUCAACGUCGAAGAAAACCAGAGACCCAAAAUCAAAACAAAUCAAAGUGAAGGGACACCAUUCCACAGAGCUAAACAUGUAAGAUUCGCGGAACCACUAAAGAGAUGUUUGGUUUUUGCUUGAUUGAGAGAUGAGAUGUGAG